GUGUUGUCUGUUUUGUGGCGGCGGCCUGGCUGCUGGCUGCGAGACCCGACCUACCUGCACACGCCAUGUCCGCCCUCCUCCGCCUGCAUCCCAUGCCACGGCAUGGGCUGGCGGCGCUGGAGGGCUACACACACCCCUACCUGUCUGGCAGACCUGACUGACGAACAGCGAACACACAAAACAAA
rnacentral:misc_RNA from 1 species